UACAGAGGAGCCAAGCGUUGUCCGGAUUGACUGGGCGUAAAGCGCACGCAGGCGGUUGGGCGCGUGGGGUGUGAAAUCUGGCCGCUUAACGGCCAGGCGCCAUCCCAUACGGCGCGACUGGAGGGCUGCAGAGGUCGAUGGAAUUCCUGGUGUAGCGGUGAAAUGCGCAGAUAUCAGGAGGAACACCAAUUGCGAAGGCAGCUCGCUGGGACGUUACUGACGCUGAGACGCGAAAGCGUGGGGAGCAAACAGG
rnacentral:rRNA from 1 species